GAACAAAUUGAAAGAGUGUUUAUAUGUAAAAGUUAUCCAUUUACUUCACUUUAUCGACUCCCUUUUAUAGUAUUUUGCUGAUCAUUUUAGGAUGGAAUAUUG